AUUAAGUGUACUAGAAGUACAUUGGUAAUAAAUAUAUGCUUUAUUACAUUUUUAAGAAAUAUGCUAAACUUAAGAAUAUUUUUAAUGUAUUUAUAUUAAGUGUACUAAAAGUAUGCUGGUAAUAAAUAUAUGCAUAAUUACACUUUUAAGAAAUAUGCUAAACACAAAUGUACUUCUAGUGAAGUUUUAGUAUAUUUGGAUAAAACAUACUUUUUUCAAAACAUGAUUCAUUAAUUGUAAUAAGCUAACAUUGAACUUUCCUCAAGCCUUUCAACAUUAUAUCAUUCCGAUUGCACAAUAAGCUAUUUUUUCAAAGAUUUGCUUAAAAUCUUACUUGUUUAAUUUCAAAAUCUUACUUGUUUAAUUUCAAACAACACACGUGACACACGUGACUAAACCUGAUUGGUUGUUGUCAUAGUAACACGUCACGGUGCUAUUUGAAACUUGUUCAGUUUAGUUCAGUUGUUCACGGUGCAUGCGGUUGCUUGCAUUAAACGUAUAAACUGUUAAAUUAGAUGGCGACUCUGCAUUAAACGUAUUUAUUUAAUUAAUCGGCGAUCAUAUUUCACCAGAGGACUAAGAUAAAACAACUCGAUUUAAAAUAUGAGCAGUUUUAGUGGAUCUGACGUUGAGGGAAAAAGUAUUUCGCUUUUUGUUUGGAGAUGAACGAGAUAACACGAGGCACAGCGACAUAAAUAUGACCAACCAGAUCCCAAGUAGACAGGAACAAAUGAAGAUAUAGCGCAUAGAAAGACUUAUUCUUGGUGAUCGACUGCUAUUGACAUUUUUGAAUCGGGGCAAAUGUGGAGUGAAGAAAAACGUUUGCAACACAUCCAUUCCAGAGUGCUCUGACAGAUAAAACUGACACGCUUGAUGAGGACACAGUCAAAGCUUUAAAAGCCUGUGUGAUAAAGCAGUCUUCAAUUACUACGGUGUCUGAAUUGCAAGAAGAAGUCACCCUCCACUUAAACAUGUGACAUCUAAACUGUUUUGUGUUUUAGUUCAGCUUUUUAUAGGUUUAUCUUAAGUUGGUUAAAGGCAGAGUGCACUAUUUUUGAAAGCCAAUGUUAACAUUUGAAAUUACCUAAACAAACAUGCCUCUACCCCAAUAGAAUCGGGACCUUCUUUUGAUAGAGCCACCACACACAUACGCAACCCCGGCAAGGAUGUCAGUUAGUAGACACGCCCCUUACUGCUGGUUGGCUACAAAGUGUGUUUUGGUAGUCGGCCCAAUUUCCUUUUACAAAGCGUUUUUCAAACAUUGUGCACUCCGUCUUUAAAUUGCACUUAAACAUUUUUUUUCAUUAACUUUUUAUGCAGAGAAUUACAUUAUGAUUAUUAUAUAAUCAUUGCUUAUGAAUAUUUAGUGAUUGCAUAUUCAUAGUGUACUUUUCAUUAAUACAUUUAAUGUUAAUGUUGUACAAUUUGAUAGAAGUAGCUCUGUAAUUGCAUUUCUCUGAUAUUUGUUUU